GCGUUCGUAUUAAACCAAAAUGUUUCUUAACUACUUCAACAUGUCACGUUGAGAAAAGAGCCCUUUGGUGUAAGCUAAGUUAAAUUCUAAUUAAUACUUAAAGGUAUAUUAUGCCCCACGUAUUGGGUUUAAUAUAUGUGAACCGCUUAGUGUUUUGGGGCAGCGGUAGAUGAAGGUGACAUUUAUAUCUGUUUUACAUACAAAUAGAUACAAAAAAGCCUUAUUGUCUGAGUGAGGAUACAUUUGCAGCGGAGAUGUGUGAUGUUUUCACCCCCUCUGCUGGUGGAGGUUGUAAAGUGACUGAAGUGUUGCCUUUGUCUCAACACUCUGAAGACCACCAAGUAUCAGCGACAGUUUUAUUUAUUUAGUGCGGGAAGUAAGAACAAUGCAUGCAGUUAUUAAGACGGUCUUGAAGUAGAAUUUUGAAGUUGACAAUAUGCUAUUUACUUUUAUAAUAGUUCACUACAUCCAUGGUAGAAAAACAUUAUAGAAGUUCAUACAUGGGAAAUGAUCAUUUUCUCCUUUUGAGAGCACGUUACGACUUUGACUCUACAAAGGCAAAUAUACUUAAAGUAGGAGACCCAGGGCCAAGCCUUCUGAGCUUCACCUCAUUUCAGAUUUAUUCACUACUCGUAUCUAUUGGAUAAUUUAAACAACGCACAGUAAUGAUAGAACGUCUUGUCUUAGUUUCAUAUAAAGCCCUAUCCAGGAUAAAGGCCUAUAACCACGCCAGGUGGAAAAGUAGAAUUAUUCAUCCAAGUAAACAGUUAUAUAAAGCUUGUACAUAGAUUAGAUGAAAUAAAUGGUACUAAUCUCCUUUUUCUAAAACAGCCAGCAGGCAAUUAGUUAUUGAUGAAACCCUGUGAGAACGGACCGAUUGGAUCUGAUGGAGUUUCAACAAAGCUCUCGUUGGUUUGUUUGGGAAUAACAGAGAGACACAAAUCAGACGCUUGAAUCCGCUCCUCGAUGCAACAUUUCAUCCCCUGGAAUGUCUUGUGAAUAAUACGCGGCCCCGCAGUCUUUCCACCGCCGCUCUUUUCACAAAUGGAAGACAAAUAUAUUCGUUGGCCGGCCGCCGUGCUUCACUGCGAGGUUCUUUUGAUUAGUAAUAUACAGAGCUAAUUAGCUUAAGACAGUGAUAUAGUUUCUCUGCCGGACCCCUGCCCCGUCCCGUCCGCGCCCCCCCCCCUUCGCGUCGGCUCAGAUUUCCCAGGUGCCUCUCUGUCUGUCCGAGGUAACAAAGUAAUGGUCUCCAUUUGGAAGACUGUUUUUCAAACGUGUUUUUUCUUGAAGUGAUUUUUAAAAGAUUACGAUUAGAGAUAUCGGUGCCCUCGAGGGACUCGUUGACCCCGAAUGGGCCUUCUGCUGCAUUAUGCAUGCCGACUCACAUGAAAGAUCAACGUGAGCCCAUGUUAUAAAGAGAGGGGAGGUAACGCUUUUCUUUAUUUCACUGCUCAAACUCCUUCUCUCUCCUCUCAUCACAGAGUGAAAGACAAUCCUGUUAUUUCCUGUGACAUCCGGACCUCAGGAAGGAAUAAGACUCCUGGAAUCAGUGGAAAUCGAAGCUUCGCACGGCUUGGUUACGUUGAUGAGAAAUCGCCGAACUUCUUCCUGUUCCCAGUGUCGCUUUGUAACUUGAGUCUGUCGCAGAGGAGCCACAGCUCGGAGCCGUCUCUGCAACACGCCGAUGCCUCACCUCGGUUUCAUCGUUUGGGACCAAAUGAAAAGUUUAAUUUACACGAAAGAAGACUCUUAAAACUCUAGCUGGUCACUGCAGCAGAGACCCUGAACGCACCGCCUCUUCAUUUGCACUCCACCCGGUUACACCGCUAAGUCAGAGACAUGCACUCUGGGGAGGGGGUUCAGACCCAAACCCAGUCCGGGGCAUCAGCUCGGUGGCUGGUUGCACAGCCGUUCCCCAGGCAACCACCGGUGGUCGUUAAGUGUAAUUUGUCUGGUCUCCCAGUGUUGAAAACGCACAAAGGAUGGCGAGGAAAGCCAGCGUGAGGCUG
ensembl:lncRNA